rnacentral:rRNA from 1 species
AUGAUGGGGUGGUAUCCUCCUUUGAAUGAUUUAAGUGACUUGACUUGGCACAUGUUCACGCAUGUAGUUGAAACAAAUCAACAUAGCCUUCAUGAUAUUUAUGUUCAUGGUGAAUUAUAUCCUACUCAUGCUUGCAUCCAAUGUUUAUUAAUUUUAAUGCAUGUACAUGGCUGUUGUCGCUCUCUAGUUGGUCGCUUCCCAGUCUUUUGCUUGCCUUCACCUGUACUAAGCGGGAAUACUGCUUGUGCAUCCAAUCCCUUAAACCAAAAAGUUAUUCCAGAUGAGUCCACUAUACCUUCCUAUAUGCGGUAUCUACCUGCCGUUCCAAGUAAAUUUGUAUGUGCCAAACUCUAA